GUUUGUUUCUACCUUAGGUCUCUUUAGGGCAUCUAGCUUCUGGUUCCUGAUCCUCCAGGCAACGUCAGGGGUGGGUUCCCGCCUGUGGCAUGGGACUUAAAUUGAACCGGUCAUUGGUUAGCCAUUCCCACAAGUUUUGUGCAACCUAGCACAACUUGCAGGCAGGACAAAUUGUAGGUCAGAGGUUUUGUGGUUGGAUUUGUGUCCCAAACCCUCCAUUGGAAGCCUUGCCUGGUUACAGGAGGUAGCCAGUUAAGUCUCAGAACCACUAUUACUAGGAGUCUUCCCUAGGCUCACCCUCUUAGAUCCCAGGGAGUUUCCCUGGCACUAGGUUUCAUAACCCAUCCCCAAAAUACACCCUAAUUCCAGUCAUCUCUCCCACCUAUGCCCCUCCCCCAAUCUGAUCCCUCUUGUUCCCAUCCCCACUUGCUCCCAGGCAAACCACAAAAUCUAUUCUAUUUCUUCUUCCCAGGGAGAUCUUUGUGUAGCCCCUUGAACCCUCCUCGUUACUUGGCCUCUCUGGGUCUGUGGAUUAUAACAUGGUUGUCCUUUAUACCUGAUAGCCACUUACAAAUCUCUGAUCUCUGGGAUCGAACCCAGAUCACUAGGCUUGUGCUAUGGCAUGCGUCCCCACACACGUCAGACAUGCUAUUACUUGGGAGACCGUGAGAAGCACAGAGCUCACUGAACAAGACAGAUGCUGUCCCUGCUCCGUGCCCUCAUUAACUGAGCACCCAGACACAUUCAGUUAAGU
ensembl:lncRNA